rnacentral:lncRNA from 1 species
GAAGCUGGAGCCCCGGACGGGUCGCACGGCACGGAUGGUGUACGGCUGCAGCGGCGACCCGACGCGGGGCACCCUGGAGAUCAUCUCGGUGAUGCUCCUGGUGCCGAGCACCCCCUGGGCACCCUCGACCAGGGCCUCUAGUGAGGUGGCGCAGAACUUGGCCUCCCACUCGAGGCCCGGGUCCUCGCACAUGCCCAAGGUCUCCUCCAUCUUGGCCGCCUGGGCGGAGCCCUCGGUGACGUUGAACUGGGCGAGGAUGCCCGGGAGGGCGGAGGAGGAGAAGGGGAUGGCGUCGGCGACGUGGCGGGGGAGGAAGCCGAGCGGGGCGGUCACUGCCGCGGGGAAUCG